rnacentral:rRNA from 1 species
ACCGCUUACUACUGCCAACCCAUUAACAGUAUUGAAUAAUUUCAUAAAUUAUGAAAACUACCAUGCUAGAACUAGUAACAAGAAAAUGAAUUUCUCCAAAGUGUAAACAUAAACCAAAACGGACAACCCAUUGGUAAUUAACGACUCUGAACCCAUUAUAGCAAAACAUCUAGAAAACCCUAUACUUAAUACCGUUAACCUUACACAAGAACUCUUCUGGAAAGAUUAAAAGGAAGAGAAGGAACUCGGCAAAUUUUAACCCCGCCUGUUUACCAAAAACAUCGCCUCUUGCUUAGUUAUAAGAGGUCCCGCCUGCCCAGUGUUUCAAUCAACGGCCGCGUGAUCUAAACGCGCGAAGGUAGCAUAAUAAUUUGUUCUUUAAAUGAGGACUUGUAUCAAUGGCAUCACGAGGGUUAUACUGUCUCCUCUCCCCAAUCAGUGAAACUAAUCUCCCUGUGAAAAAGCAGGAAUAAGAACAUAAGACGAGAAGACCCCAUGGAGCUUAAAACAAGGCAGCAAUUCAAUAACAAAAUCAGAACAAUCUUAAGCCCUGUAUGCCAGUUUUAGGUUGGGGUGACCACGGAGCAAAGCAAAGCCUCCACAACGAGAAGGGAUUAUUCCCUUACCCAAGAGACACGCCUCUAAGAAUUAUUAAAAUAACGUCUAAUGAUCCGAUUAUCGACCAAUGGACCAAGUUACCCUGGGGAUAACAGCGCAAUCCACUCUGAGAGCUCCUAUCGACGAGUGGGCUUACGACCUCGAUGUUGGAUCAGGAUAUCCCAGUGGUGCAGCCGCUACU